GACGAACGCUGGCGGCGUGCUUAACACAUGCAAGUCGAACGAUGAAGUAGAGAAACGCGCACUUCGGUUCAAAUUUCACUUCGGAUUAGUGGCAGACGGGUGAGUAACGCGUGAGCAACCUACCUCUUACAAAGGGAUAGCCUCGGGAAACCGUGAUCAAUACCAUAUGACACAUUCAUAAGGCAUCUUAAGAAUGUUAAAGCUACGGCGGUAAGAGAUGGGCUCGCGUCCCAUUAGCUAGUUGGUGAGGUAACGGCCCACCAAGGCGACGAUGGGUAAACGGGCUGAGAGGGUGACCGGUCACAGUGGAACUGAGACACGGUCCAAACUCCUACGGGAGGCAGCAGUGGGGAAUAUUGCACAAUGGAGUGAACGCUGAUGCAGCGACGCCGCGUGAGCGAUUAAGGAAUUCGUUGCGUAAAGCUCUGUUCUAUGGGAAGAAAAGGACUGUACCAUAGGAGAAAGCCCCGGCUAAAUACGUG
rnacentral:rRNA from 1 species